UGACUUUUUCUAAUAAGCCCUUUUUUAGGUUAGCAAUUUCUUACUUACAAAUCUCUAAAUGUCUUGAUCCCAUUUCUAUGGGUCGUGUCUUGGUUAGAAUCAUACUUUCAUCAAAAGUGGGCUCAUAUAGUAAUUUAACUACAUGUUUCUUUCUAGCCCAAAAGGUAUUAGGAACUUCUACGCAAAUGCUAUUAAACAUUUCGUCGUAUAUACUUUUGAUUUUUGUUUGUAAAAUAGGUUCAUUAACCUUUUCUUCGAUAGUUUUGUAAAAUAUUUUUCUUUUUAGAGAAUUAAUAAAAUUUUUUUUAUUUUUUAUAUUGCUUUUAAGCACAUCAAUUUUCUUUUCUUUUGGUAAAGAGAUAAAUUCAAAAAUA
rnacentral:misc_RNA from 1 species